CGUAUAUUAAAGUUGUUGCAGUUAAAAAGCUCGUAGUUGGAUUUCUGGAUCGAACGCUCUGUCCGCCGCUGUGCGGUGCGUACUUGAGUUUAGUUUCGAUUCAUCCUUGAAGGGAAGCGCGUUCGAGAUUCAUUUGUCGGCGCGGGGAACUGCAUCUUUUACUGUGAAAAAAUUAGAGUGUUUAAAGCAGGCAUUUUGCUGUGAAUACAUUAGCAUGGAAUAAUAACAUAGGACUUUGGUUCUAUUUUGUUGGUUGGAGGCCAAGGUAAUGAUUAAUAGGGACAGUUGGGGGUAUUCAUAUUUAAUUGUCAGAGGAGAAAUUCUUGGAUUUAUGAAAGAUGAACUCAUGCGAAAGCAUUUACCAAGGAUGUUUUCAUUAAUCAAGAACGAAAGUUAGGGGAUCGAAGAGGAUUAGAUACCCUCGUAGUCUUAACCAUAAACUAUGCCGACUAGGGAUUGGCGGACGUACUUUUUAUGGCUCCGUCAGCACCUUACGAGAAAUCAAAGUCUUUGGGUUCCGGGGGGAGUAUGGUCGCAAGGCUGAAA
rnacentral:rRNA from 2 species